CCAACAAGUGCUGGCGAUCGAAGGUAAUCAGCCCUCGCACCAAAACCAAAACCAAAACCAAGGCCAAAACUAGAACCGAUACCACAAACAUCAGCCCAACUUCGGCAACGGCCAAAGAGGCGUCCAUGCAGGAAGAGGAAGAGGUCAAGGCAACAGGCCUCCGAGGCCAAACAAUCAAACUAGACAGCAAAGACCAUUUCAUUGCAUGUUCCAUGGCAAACAGCUUGACCAUGCGACGUAUUUUUGCCUGAUAGUCAAAGAAACCAACGAAAGAAUAGCAGAAGAAAAGAAAGCGGCUCAAGCUGCGGCCCAAGCAGCAGCCCAGGCACCCCAAGAAUAUCCACCAUACCACAUUCUGUCCACAUCCACCAUACUACUCAAACUCAACCAACCUUGCAACCUUCCAGCCCACCAUGACGUGGCAACACUCACCACAGUUUCGGCCUCAAACUCAACAAACCUCGCAGAAUGCGAGCUUCAUACUCUCUCAACCCCACCAUGAAAUACCAUUACCACCACCAAAUCUACCCAAUUAAAUUCCAAAAGCUUAGCCUAACCCACAAAACAAC
rnacentral:lncRNA from 1 species